rnacentral:rRNA from 1 species
GUCGUCGGGUCAAACCGGCGACUGCGUUGGCGUUGCGGGCUCGGUCCGUCGGUGCCCCACAAAGGGCUACUGGCGUGUCAACCGGCCCGCCCGUCCCCUCCUUCUGGAUUCCCGUUCCUGCUAUUGAGUUAGUGGGGACGUCACAGGGGGCUCAUCGUCGUGCGGCGUCAAAACCGUGGCGGCGGUGGGUCCCUGGGGCCCAGAUCGUUUACCGUGAAAAAAUUAGAGUGUUCAAAGCAGGCAGAUCCAAUUUUCUGCCACCGAAUACAUUAGCAUGGGAUAAUGGAAUAGGACCCUGUCCUCCUAUUUUCAGUUGGUUUUGGCAGCGCGAGGACUAGGGUAAUGAUUAAUAGGGAUAGUUGGGGGCAUUAAUAUUUAAUUGUCAGAGGUGAAAUUCUUGGAUUUAUGAAAGAUUAACUUCUGCGAAAGCAUCUGCCAAGGAUGUUUUCAUUAAUCAAGAACGAAAGUUAGGGGAUCGAAGACGAUCAGAUACCGUCGUAGUCUUAACCAUAAACGAUGCCGACCAGCGAUUAGGAGAC